CGUGAUGCUAUCUGUUAGGCUCCCAGAGUAGAUAAAUUACAGGGCGCGCGCGCGCACAGGGGCACAUGCAGGAGCGCAUCCCUGCGAAGGAGAGUUACGUUCCGCUAACAUCGCAAGAGAAGAUAAAGUGAGGCUUCCUGCUUCUUUCUUUGUUGUCAGUGUGACCCAUCCCAGUUACGUAGCAUCACGCAGAGAGGAACCAGUGCGAAAGCAGGCUUGCCUGGCACCCUGAUUUCCAGCCAGAGCAGAGGAAGACUGCACCGAAGGCAGGCUCACUGCAGACAGCUGCACACCUAGCAGCACGAUUAUGUAGGAAAAUAAGAAGAAGCCAUCAGAUGACCGGAGUCAGACUGUCAUUCUCUCUCUGGAAUGCACUGAGCAAUCGUCCACUGAUGGCUGGUCGUGUCCCUGCUAGUCGGCAGCUGUCCCCGCAUCCAGAGAGGACUGGCAUUGAAUUAGGUCAGUGAGUCUGGUUUCUCCUUUACACCGUGUUCUAACUGAGGAGCGGGGACCCGCGCCAGCCCCUGUGACCAGCCUGAACUGAGAGCGGGAGAGUCCCAUGGCUUCAGUUUGCUGGUGUCGCCUGCGCAGGCCCCGGCCAGCCGCGCCAGCCACGGGCAGCCUCGUCUCCUCGGUCCUAGCCUCUAUUCCUGCAGGGCGAGCUGCGUGGCAUGAGGCGCCCGCAGGCGGGGGGCACAGGUGGCAGGAGUGACCCGCCGCGCCCCGCCUGAGGCAGUGCAGCUGCGAGGCUCCAGCACUACCUGCUCUGCGGCGAACUCCGCGGCCAACGUGCGCACUCAGACCGCGUCUCUGCUCCUGGCUAACCCAAGAUGAGGGAGACAACUCAGCUCAGAAAGGCUGAGUUCUGCUUAUAGCAGCAUAGAGAGAGAGGCAGAGGGAGAACCAGGCUUCCCAAGGAGCAGGGAGCCUGCUGCAGGGCUUGAUCCCAGGACCCCAAGAUCAUGACCUGAGCCGAAGGCAGAUGCUUAACCAUCUGAGCCACCCAGGUACCCAGAGCUGAAGGUGCACUCGCAGAAAGUGGAAUCAGCUGGGACAACAGGAGCCCUCAAAAGAGCCAGGCUGUGGCCCAGGAGACAUCAGGCUUCCAGUCCCUGAAGCCUGGAGCACGUCUGAACCCGCCGCACUCACCAGUUUGCAUCGGCAACUGUUCCCAAUCACUGCCUCAGACCAGAGCUGCACACAACCUUUCAAGACCCGGUCAGCCAGGCAAGUCACUUUCCUGCAGGAUCUGUGAACCUCAGCAGAGUCCUGGCCCCGCCACUGCCACCGCAUACCCUGUGUCCCCUUCCGCCUUCUUCCCUGCAGGCAGAUGCUCCGUCGGCUUCAACCCUAGCAAUGGGCUCAAUUUCAGCACGCUGUCUCCCAGACUCCCUGGCAGCAAACGCAAUUCCUGCCUGCUCCGGACGCCAUCGUGCUGUCAUCUGAAUAUCUGGGGCCAGGGAAGUUAGCCCGCACAGAACGGAGCGGAAGCUAGAACACUACCCUGAGUCUUCACAAACCGUCCUCCACUCGGAUUCCAAAUUCACUGAGACACGCCUGACAUCUUAAUUUAAGGCGUACAAACGUGACACGUUAUGGACACACACAGUUCUUACACUGAUGUCUUACUUUGCAACACGUGUCACAGGUGAGUCCUGCCG